UCCUACGGGAGGCAGCAGUGAGGAAUAUUGGUCAAUGGACGAGAGUCUGAACCAGCCAAGUAGCGUGCAGGAUGACGGCCCUAUGGGUUGUAAACUGCUUUUAUGCGGGGAUAAAGUGAGGGACGUGUCCCUUUUUGUAGGUACCGCAUGAAUAAGGACCGGCUAAUUCCGUGCCAGCAGCCGCGGUAAUACGGGAGGUCCGGGCGUUAUCCGGAUUUAUUGGGUUUAAAGGGAGCGCAGGCCGAUGGUUAAGCGUGACGUGAAAUGUAGCCGCUCAACGGCUGAACUGCGUCGCGAACUGGCUGUCUUGAGUGAGUUCGAUGUGGGCGGAAUUCGUGGUGUAGCGGUGAAAUGCUUAGAUAUCACGAAGAACUCCGAUUGCGAAGGCAGCCCACAAGGCCUUUACUGACGCUAAAGCUCGAAGGUGCGGGUAUCGAACAGGAUUAGAUACCCUGGUAGUCC
rnacentral:rRNA from 1 species